CACAUAUAUACAUGAUAGAGUCAGAUUUAAGUUUAUAACUAGAGACUAGAGUUGUUCAUGAUGGCAGAAGAAGAGCUCCAGACUGGUUUACCUGCAGAUACAUUCAAAAGUAAUGUCGAUAAAGUUACAUAAACAGACCUUAAUCGCAGAUACAUGGUUCUUAAUGAUCUGAUACCAGUGCGCAGUGAUGCUAUUUGCAUGGCCGUGCAGUUUGUGAAGCAAUUAGUCACCCCGUGUGCAUGCUUUAAGAAUUAGACGAUGUAUUAUUAGCUUUUAACAGGUGCAAAAGUUUCUGCAAUUCUUUAGUCAAUCAAACCCAAGUAUCACUGAUUACACUAGUUAGACCGAGAGCUUGAAAUACAGGUCUGACUCUAAUACAGGCCUGCCUCUAAUACAGGUCCGACUCUAUUAAAGGACUGCCUCGAAUACAGGCCCACCCCUAAUACAGGUCUGCCUCUAAUAUAGGUCUGACUCUAUAACAGGUCUGACUCUAAUACAGGUCCACCUCUAAUAUAGGUCUGACUCUUAUACAGGCCUGUCUUUAAUACAGAUAACCUGUACUGUCUUAAUAAUUCAGCACCGUUUCGAUAGGGUAUCCAGGGUCCCACCCUAGCCCUGAAUGGCCAAGGAUUUGAGGGUAGAUGUUUGCUUUUACUUUUUUAUCAAGGUCUGCCUCUUAUACAGGCCCACCGUUAGUACUGGUCUGCCUCUAAUACAGGCCUGCCUCCAAUAUAGCCCUGUCUCUAAUACAGGUUUCUCUCUAAUACAGGCCUGCCUCCUAUACAGGUCUGACCUUAAAACAGGUCUGCUUCUAUUUCUAGUCCGUCUCUUAUACAGGUUUGUCUCUAAUACAAGCCUGCCUCUUAUACAGGCCUGCCUUUAAUUCUGGCCUGCCUCUAAUACAGAUAACCUGCACUUACCUGAUAAUUCAGCACCCGUCUGUUGGGGUACCCGGG